AGCAAACAAAAGGCAGAAAAGGGAAUGGUAUGACACACUGUUAGGAGGUGCUGGAACCACUAUGGGUAUACUAAAUAGUUAUAGAUAUGGAGACCCUCAAGAAUAAGUUAAACACAGCCAGCAUACAUAUAGGGACUGGUUUCCAUGCUACUGCAAACUGGGCUCCAAUUGUUGUUAAAUCACAGGUUAUAGGAUUGGAUUUAGAUAAAUCAAUGUAUAACUAUUUAGAUAAUUUAACUGUUGCAACUAUGAAAUUCACUACAGUUCUAAGUAACUGGAGUACUUGUGCCAUCAGGUAUUUAUGGAUACAACAACAAGGAUUGGCAUUAGAAAACACACUAAUGAUUCCUAAACUAGAGAAGAUUAGAGGAAAGCGUAACCUCACAGAUAAUGAAUGGUUACUUCUAAAACCCCAAUCCACUAAAUGCAAUGGAUGGUUAACUGGUAAUGUUUCACAUUUUUCAUGCUCAUGCUAUUUUACAUUAUAUCAUACAUCAUCAAAGGAUGUUAAAUUAGCUUGUCAAUUUAACACAUUACCAGUACCAGUUUAUGAUCUUUUUGCCAAGAAUUUAACC